rnacentral:rRNA from 1 species
CCUCCGGGCGGCAGCAGUGGGGAAUAUUGGGCAAUGGGCGCAAGCCUGACCCCGCCCCUCCUCUUUCCGGCCGCAGGCUUUCGGGUUGUAAACUUCUUUUAAGAGGGAAGAGCAGAAGACGGUACCUCUUGAAUAAGCCACGGCUAACUACGUGCCAGCAGCCGCGGUAAUACGUAGGUGGCAAGCGUUGUCCGGAUUUACUGGGUGUAAAGGGCGUGUAGCCGGGCUGACAAGUCAGAUGUGAAAUUCCGGGGCUCAACCCCGGACCUGCAUUUGAAACUGUUGGUCUUGAGUAUCGGAGAGGC